rnacentral:rRNA from 1 species
GCGCGAAAACUUUGCAAUGCGGGAAACCGUGACAAGGGAACUCUGAGUGCCCGUAAAAUCGGGCUGUCCAUCAGUUUAAAAAACUGGUGAAGAAAGGGCCGGGCAAGACCGGUGCCAGCCGCCGCGGUAAUACCGGCGGCUCGAGUGGUGGCCACUAUUACUGGGCUUAAAGCGUUCGUAGCUGGUUUGUUAAGUCUCUGGGGAAAUCUUCCGGCUCAACCGGAAGGCGUCUCAGGGAUACUGGCAGACUAGGGACCGGAAGAGGUGAGAGGUACUCCAGGGGUAGGAGUGAAAUCCUGUAAUCCUUGGGGGACCACCUGUGGCGAAGGCGUCUCACCAGGACGGCUCCGACAGUGAGGGACGAAAGCUGGGGGAGCAAACCGGAUUAGAUACCCGGGUAGUCCCAGCCGUAAACGAUGUGCGUUAGGUGUAUCGGUGACCACGAGUCACCGAGGUGCCGAAGAGAAAUCGUGAAACGUCGACCUGGAAGUACGGUCGCAAGGACUGAAACUUAAAGGAAGUUGGUCGGGGGAGGCGACCACGAACCAGGUGGAGCCGUGCGGUUUAACG